rnacentral:lncRNA from 1 species
UGAUCUCCACCCUCCUGAUUUGGAUCGCUUAGACGGAUAGCCCCUUUAAUCCACAUAACCUUCCAGCACUUCAUCAUCAUCCCUGACCAGAAGAGGAGUGAUAGCUUCCAAGUUUCUGCUUCCCUUAGCUGUGGAGAUCGCCAUGUGAACUCAACUUAACUAUCUUACAAAUCAAACCACGAAUAGUGUAACCUUAUUCCUACAUAUGCAUGUAUGCUCUUGAUCAAAUAUCCCAAACUGUUUCUAUUUACUAAUAUGCUGCAUGUGUUUUCCUUUCUACUUACAAAUUUCUAGAUGGGGAAAGGAAGUGAAGUGAACAU